AACGAACGCUGGCGGCAUGCCUAACACAUGCAAGUCGAACGAGACCUUCGGGUCUAGUGGCGCACGGGUGCGUAACGCGUGGGAAUCUGCCCUUGGGUUCGGAACAACAGUUGGAAACGACUGCUAAUACCGGAUGAUGACUUCGGUCCAAAGAUUUAUCGCCCAAGGAUGAGCCCGCGUAGGAUUAGCUUGUUGGUGAGGUAAAAGCUCACCAAGGCGACGAUCCUUAGCUGGUCUGAGAGGAUGAUCAGCCACACUGGGACUGAGACACGGCACAGACUCCUACGGGAGGCAGCAGUGGGGAAUAUUGGACAAUGGGCGAAAGCCUGAUCCAGCAAUGCCGCGUGAGUGAUGAAGGCCUUAGGGUUGUAAAGCUCUUUUACCCGGGAUGAUAAUGACAGUACCGGGAGAAUAAGCCCCGGCUAACUCCGUGCCAGCCGCCGCUGUAACAC
rnacentral:rRNA from 1 species